UCACUUUUCGAUUCCAUUCAGUAACCUUACCUUCAAUGUUUUUUAGAUUUUUAUCAGCCUCAUCACAUUGAUGAUCUAUCUUAUCUUUUUCAUUUUCAAGAUCCUUAAUACUAUCCUUCAGUUCAUGAACACUUUGCUUAUAACGGACGAUGUAAGUCACCUGUCUCCAUACAAAACUAAUCGCUUCUACUCCAACUUUUACUAAGGGCGCUAACCAACCCAUCCUGGGAGCUUGGUUAUCUUCUACAAGAUGGGACUACAUCCCUUUAUCAACAAAACGUAAGUGGAAAAUAUCAAUCAGUAACUAAAUAAAAGAAAAAAAAAAGGAUAACAUUUAAUGAG
rnacentral:lncRNA from 1 species